rnacentral:rRNA from 1 species
UACGGGGGGAGCAAGCGUUGUUCGGAUUUACUGGGCGUAAAGGGCGCGUAGGCGGCGCAACAAGUCACUUGUGAAAUCUCCGGGCUUAACUCGGAAAGGUCAAGUGAUACUGUUGUGCUAGAGUGCGGAAGGGGCAACUGGAAUUCUCGGUGUAGCGGUGAAAUGCGUAGAUAUCGAGAGGAACACCUGCGGCGAAGGCGGGUUGCUGGGACGUUACUGACGCUGAGACGCGAAAGCGUGGGGAGCAAACAGG